UUGAAAGAAUAGUCGUGCUUGUAAAGUUGGU
rnacentral:piRNA from 1 species